rnacentral:misc_RNA from 1 species
GAUGAAGAACGUAGCGAAAUGCGAUAAGUAGUGUGAAUUGCAGAAUUUAGUGAAUCAUCGAAUCUUUGAACGCACAUUGCGCCCGCCAGUAUUCUGGCGGGCAUGCCUGUUCGAGCGUCAUUACAACCCUCAGGCCCCCGGGCCUGGCGUUGGGGAUCGGCGGAGCCCCCCGUGGGCACACGCCGUCCCCCAAAUGCAGUGGCGGUCCCGCCGCAGCUUCCAUCGCGUAGUAGCUAACACCUCGCGACUGGAGAGCGGCGCGGCCACGCCGUAAAACACCCAACUCUUCUGAAGUUGACCUCGAAUCAGGUAGGAAUACCCGCUGAACUUAAGCAUAUCAAUAAGCGGAGGA